CAGACUCCAGCAAGGCAGAUUAUUACGAAAUGGCUCUACAGAGAUAGCUUCAAACCAUAAAGAAUCAUCUUCCUAAAAGCGUGAUUUUGUGGCUGCUUCAUAAAAUACCUCUGGCUUCUCCACUAGGAUUUCUGUAUCUGAAAUAACUCUGGAGUGAGGAUGCAAGCAAUAAGAGGAAAUUCAAGGAAUUUAUCCAUCACGAAAUACUGCAACGUAACAAGAGAACAAAAAAUAUUUGAAUGCAUCAAAUUAUAUCCCAGAGUUCGUAAAUGAACCAAUGCUAUAGGACGUCAAAUGUAUUAAACAAGGCUGUCAGAUCCCAAAGAUAUAAUAUAGUGAGACUUAGCCACCAAAAUGUGUUGGGAAUGACAACACAAAAUAUUAUUCAGAAUUUCAGAAAGGUUUUACUUUAUAUACAGAUUUUAAUUUUUUAUUCUUUUCAUUUUACCUUUUAACUUUCUAGAAGAUGGCCAGAGUUGCCUUAUCUGUGAGAGAGAGCAUAUACAUUUAAUAAAUAAUAAUGUUGAAAAAC